GACGAGGGCGCGAGCGUUGUCCGGAUUUAUUGGGCGUAAAGAGCGUGUAGGCGGCCAGGUAGGUCUGCUGUGAAAACUCGAGGCUCAACCUCGAGACGUCGGCGGAAACCAUCUGGCUAGAGUCCGGAAGAGGAGAGUGGAAUUCCUGGUGUAGCGGUGAAAUGCGCAGAUAUCAGGAAGAACACCCGUGGCGAAGGCGGCUCUCUGGGACGGUACUGACGCUGAGACGCGAAAGCGUGGGGAGCGAACAGG
rnacentral:rRNA from 1 species